CGUUAACGUUAGCCCGCGAAAGACCGCAUUCACGCUGUCAGGUCACAAAGCCCUUGCACAUGCUUUUUGCUUUCAUCAAAUUCAGCAUACCAGAGGCAAGACAGUCUGACAUCAAAGUGUAUGACCAGUCUCACACAGAAAUUGACUGAGAGGUGUUUGAAGAGAUUGCAAAGGAGUCACCUGGCACCUUCUGGAUCACUCUAGGUGAUGAAGGACUUGCCUCUCAAUUAUCAUCGUCAUCCUCUGUAAGAUCUGAUGACAUUAUAAUUCUGAAUUUCACUGUGUGUGACCAUCAUGAAGAAGCAGCCACUGGUGAAGGGAGCCAACCCAAAAGACAGUGCCGGAUAAACUGAGGCUAAAGUGUUGAUUGAAAGAAUCCUAACAUCAAAACCUGGUGGUGAACGCAUCAUACAAGAGUAUGGAAAAACCAACACUGACAGAUGCCACCAGAAGGCAGAUGAUCAACAUACUUGCUGCUGAGAUGACAGAAACACAUGGGCUGGGACAGUGACAUGGCUGAUAUCUUGCUGCUGCUACAUCUGCUACCACCAGCUGCGCAAGGUCGUAAGAAGCCAGGACAGAUGUCUGCAUGUCAAGAGGUUGGAACCAGUGUGCAGCAGCAUCUGGACAGCAUCACCCAAAGCAGUCAGCCCUACCUUCUUGCCUUGGGAUCCACAAAGAGCAGCAUUCACUCCUACUUUGUUGUGAUCGACAAGCAUGCGGUUCCAUGCAAGGCAACGGCCUCAGUAGGAGCCUUUGACGAACUCUUUAAGGCUCACUUCGUCUUCGGUACGUCAUGCAGUUCUUGCCUGAGUAACUUCUUCACUUGUGCAAACAACCAUCUAUAACAUUGAUAUGGGGGAAACAAAGGAGACUCCCCGAGUUGCUAAGUUGAGAGCAAGAAUGUUGCGUUAGUGAAAUUAUGAAGUGUUUUCUAUGCAAGACUAAGCAUACAAGUUCAAACACCCUUGUCAAGCACCUUAAAGUAAUUAAUGGACUUUGUCCAGGGAGAACUCAUCUAAAAUGUGGUCAAGUGGGAUGUUCAUGUUCCUUUGGUAGCUUUUCUGGUUUUAGAAAGCAUUUAAGUAAUUGCCACAUUAGCAGUUCAUUUGGUUCAGUCGGUGAUGUUGGUUUUUCAAACUCUCAAAGCACCUUUAAAACUUGUAAAGGUAGUGAUGUUGGAGAAGUGUUGACUGAAAAUGUAGAGUGAGUCAGCGAUGUCUUCCCCAGACAUUGUAAAUAGUUGUGCGUCUAAUUGCUGAUCUAAAGGCAGCAGGUGUAGGUCAAAGUACAGUUAAUUCUGUUGUGAAUUCCAUGGAAGAGCUAUUUCAUGAUAUCCAACAGCGAGCUAAAUAAACUCGUUAAGCAUGUUCUAUGUGAUGAAGGACAAACUGAAAUGUCCCAAGAAAGUUGAGGCAUAUUUUGAAGGGUUAGAGAAUCCUUUCACUGUGCUAAAUUCUGAAUACAAGAGGUCCACAUUUUUCACAGAGAAGUGGGAAACUGUAGAACAUGUCAUUGGCUCAAGAUUUGACACAAGACGAAACAAAAAGACUGGAACAUAUGACCAGAUCGUAGUUCAAGACAAAUUCAUGUAUGUUCCAAUAUUGUCUACCUUGCAGUCAAUAUUCAAAUGUAAACAUGUUUCAGAGAUGUUUCGCGAUCCCAGUGACACAAGACUCUGAUGUGUGAUGGAUCUUUUAUUAGGAGUCACCCUCUGUUCUCAACAGAAAGGCAAGUCAUACAGAUUCAAUUGUUCUAUGAUGAUUUUGCGAGGAAUUGGAGGAAUUCAUAUGUGAGGAAUUCAUAAAUUGGGUGCUAUAUAUUUUACUUUAAGGUACUUCUCUCCUAAAUGGAAUUCUUGUUUGGCUAACAUACACCUGCGUGCCUUAUUUCAUGCUCAAGAUCUUAAACGUUAUGGAUUAAGGGCAAUCCUUGCUCCUAUUGUUCGAGACAUUAAAGUGUUAGA